AUCUGUAGGAUGGAAGAUUGAUUGCUUGAGGUCGGCGGGCCUCGGCAUCCUUCCUUUCGCACUGUCUCCGGGCAGACCGCCAC
rfam:Synechococcus sp. RS9916 scf_1100013018508 genomic scaffold, whole genome shotgun sequence.